rnacentral:rRNA from 1 species
GAUGAACGCUGGCGGCGUGCUUAACACAUGCAAGUCGAACGGAAAGGCCCUGCUUUUGUGGGGUGCUCGAGUGGCGAACGGGUGAGUAACACGUGAGUAACCUGCCCUUGACUUUGGGAUAACUUCAGGAAACUGGGGCUAAUACCGGAUAGGAGCUCCUGCUGCAUGGUGGGGGUUGGAAAGUUUCGGCGGUUGGGGAUGGACUCGCGGCUUAUCAGCUUGUUGGUGGGGUAGUGGCUUACCAAGGCUUUGACGGGUAGCCGGCCUGAGAGGGUGACCGGCCACAGUGGGACUGAGAUACGGCCCGGACUACUGAGGGAGGCAGGAGUGGGGAAUAUUGCACGAUGGGCGGAAGCCUGAUGCAGCAACGCCGCGUGCGGGAUGACGGCCUUCGGGUUGUAAACCGCUUUCGCCUGUGACGAAGCGUGAGUGACGGUAAUGGGUAAAGAAGCACCGGCUAACUACGUG